rnacentral:rRNA from 1 species
AGAGUUUGAUUCUGGCUCAGGAUGAACGCUAGCUACAGGCUUAACACAUGCAAGUCGAGGGGCAGCAUUGGAGUAGCAAUACUCAGAUGGCGACCGGCGCACGGGUGAGUAACACGUAUCCAACCUGCCGCUUACUCGGGGAUAGCCUUUCGAAAGAAAGAUUAAUACCCGAUGGUAUAAAGAGUUCGCAUGUUCUCUUUAUUAAAGAAUUUCGGUAAGCGAUGGGGAUGCGUUCCAUUAGAUAGUUGGCGGGGUAACGGCCCACCAAGUCUACGAUGGAUAGGAGUUCUGAGAGGAAGGUCCCCCACAUUGGAACUGAGACACGGUCCAAACUCCUACGGGAGGCAGCAGUGAGGAAUAUUGGUCAAUGGACGAGAGUCUGAACCAGCCAAAGUAGCGUGAAGGAUGACUGCCCUAUGGGUUGUAAACUUCUUUUAUAAGGGAAUAAAGUGAGGGACGUGUCCCUUUUUGUAUGUACCUUAUGAAUAAGGAUCGGCUAACUCCGUGCCAGCCGCCGC